UACGUAGGGUGCAAGCGUUGUCCGGAAUUAUUGGGCGUAAAGAGCUCGUAGGCGGUCUGUUGCGUCGGCUGUGAAAACCCGGGGCUCAACCCCGGGCCUGCAGCCGAUACGGGCAGACUAGAGUUCGGCAGGGGAGACUGGAAUUCCUGGUGUAGCGGUGAAAUGCGCAGAUAUCAGGAGGAACACCGGUGGCGAAGGCGGCGCUCUGGACCGAGACUGACGCUGAGGCGCGAAAGCGUGGGGAGCAAACAGG
rnacentral:rRNA from 1 species